rnacentral:rRNA from 1 species
GACGAACGCUGGCGGCGUGCUUAACACAUGCAAGUCGAACGGUAAGGCCUCUUCGGGGGUACACGAGUGGCGAACGGGUGAGUAACACGUGAGUAACCUGCCCUUGACUUUGGGAUAACAUCUGGAAACAGGUGCUAAUACCGGAUAUGAGCUUGUCCUGUAUGGGAUGGGUUGGAAAGCUCCGGCGGUCAUGGAUGGACUCGCGGCCUAUCAGCUUGUUGGUGAGGUAAUGGCUCACCAAGGCUUCGACGGGUAGCCGGCCUGAGAGGGCGACCGGCCACAUUGGGACUGAGAUACGGCCCAAACUCCUACGGGAGGCAGCAGUGGGGAAUAUUGCACAAUGGGCGGAAGCCUGAUGCAGCAACGCCGCGUGCGGGAUGACGGCCUUCGGGUUGUAAACCGCUUUCAGCAGGGACGAAGCGUGAGUGACGGUACCUGCAGAAGAAGCACCGGCUAACUACGUGCCAGCCGCCGCGGUAAUAC